rnacentral:rRNA from 1 species
UACGGAAGGCAGCAGUGGGGAAUAUUGCACAAUGGGCGCAAGCCUGAUGCAGCCAUGCCGCGUGUAUGAAGAAGGCCUUCGGGUUGUAAAGUACUUUCAGUCGUGAGGAAGGUGUUAAGGUUAAUAACCUUAGCAAUUGACGUUAGCGACAGAAGAAGCACCGGCUAACUCCGUGCCAGCAGCCGCGGUAAUACGGAGGGUGCGAGCGUUAAUCGGAAUUACUGGGCGUAAAGGGCACGCAGGCGGUUAAUUAAGUUGGAUGUGAAAUCCCCGGGCUUAACCUGGGAAUGGCAUUCAAGACUGGUUAGCUAGAGUCUUGUAGAGGGGGUUAGAAUUCCAUGUGUAGCGGUGAAAUGCGUAGAGAUGUGGAGGAAUACCGGUGGCGAAGGCGGCCCCUGGGACAAAGACUGACGCUCAUGUGCGAAAGCGUGGGGAGCAAACGAGGAUUAGAUACCCGU